rnacentral:rRNA from 1 species
GUGUUAGGUUAAGUCCUGCAACGAGCGCAACCCCUGUCACUAGUUGCUAGCAUUAAGUUGAGGACUCUAGUGAGACUGCCUACGCAAGUAGAGAGGAAGGUGGGGAUGACGUCAAAUCAUCACGGCCCUUACGCCUUGGGCCACACACGUAAUACAAUGGCCGGUACAGAGGGCAGCUACACAGCGAUGUGAUGCAAAUCUCGAAAGCCGGUCUCAGUUCGGAUUGGAGUCUGCAACUCGACUCUAUGAAGCUGGAAUCGCUAGUAAUCGCGCAUCAGCCAUGGCGCGGUGAAUACGUUCCCGGGCCUUGUACACACCGCCCGUCAAGCCAUGGAAGUCUGGGGUACCUGAAGUCGGUGACCGUAACAGGAGCUGCCUAGGGUAAAACAGGUAACUAGGGCUAAGUCGUAACAAGGUAGCCGUACCGGAAGGUGCGGCUGGAACAUCUCAUUU